UACGUAGGAUCCAAGCGUUAUCCGGAAUUACUGGGCGUAAAGCGUACGUAGGUGGAUGUUUAAGUGAGAUGCGAAAUCUGGCGGCUCAACCGUCUAGACUGUGUCUCAUACUGGGCACCUUGAGGUUGGCAGAGGCAAGUGGAGUUUCCGGUGUAGCAGUGAAAUGCGUAGAUAUCGGGAGGAACACCUGUGGCGAAAGCGGCUCACUGGACCACAACUGACGCUGAUGCGCGAAAGCUAGGGGAGCAAACAGG
rnacentral:rRNA from 1 species